rnacentral:rRNA from 1 species
AUAGCGUAUAUUAAAGUUGUUGUUGUUAAAAAGCUCGUAGUUGGAUCUCAGUUCUAGUUAGACGGUCCACUUGCCAGUGGUUACUGUCUAACUGAACACUUUACCGAGUUGUCCUAUGGUGCUCUUUACCGAGUGUCAUAGGCGAUCGGUACGUUUACUUUGAAAAAAUUAGAGUGCUCAAAGCAGGCGUAACGCCCGAAUAAUGUUGCAUGGAAUAAUGGAAUAGGACCUCGGUUCUAUUUUGUUGGUCUUCGGAAUCUGAGGUAAUGAUUAAGAGGGACAGACGGGGGCAUUCGUAUUGCGGCGCUAGAGGUGAAAUUCUUGGACCGUCGCAAGACGAA